rnacentral:rRNA from 1 species
UACGAAGGGGCUAGCGUUGUUCGGAAUUACUGGGCGUAAAGCGUGCGCAGGCGGCUUCUCAAGUCAGGGGUGAAAGCCCAGAGCUCAACUCUGGAAUUGCCUUUGAGACUGAGAGGCUUGAGUACGGGAGAGGUGAGUGGGAAUUCCCAGUGUAGAGGUGAAAAUUCGUAGAUAUUGGGAAGAACACCAGUGGCGAAGGCGACACAUCUGGCCCAAUACUGGAC